GACGAACGCUGGCGGCGUGCCUAAUACAUGCAAGUCGAGCGAUGAAGAUUGGUGCUUGCACCAAUUUGAAGAGCAGCGAACGGGUGAGUAACGCGUGGGGAAUCUGCCUUUGAGCGGGGGACAACAUUUGGAAACGAAUGCUAAUACCGCAUAACAACUUUAAACAUAAGUGUUAAGGUUGAAAGAUGCAAUUGCAGCACUCAAAGAUGAUCCCGCGUUGUAUUAGCUAGUUGGUGAGGUAAAGGAUCACCAAGGCGAUGAUACAUAGCCGACCUGAGAGGGUGUCCGGCCCCGUUGGGACUGAGACACGGCCCAAACUCCUACGGGAGGCAGCCGUAGGGAAUCUUCGGCGAUGGCCGAAAGUCUGACCGCGCAACGCCGCGUGAGUUAAGAAGGUUUUCGGGUCGUAAAACUCUGUUGGUAGAGAAGAACGUUGGUGAGAGUGGAAAGCUCAUCAAGUGACGGUACCUACCCAGAAAGGGACGGCUAACUACGUG
rnacentral:rRNA from 1 species